AUUGAACGCUGGCGGCAUGCUUUACACAUGCAAGUCGAACGGGGUGAAGGGGCAACUCUUCAUUCAGUGGCGAACGGGUGAGUAAUGCAUCGGAACGUACCUCGUAGUGGGGGAUAACUCGGCGAAAGCCGUGCUAAUACCGCAUAUGCUCUACGGAGGAAAGCAGGGGACCUGAAAGGGCCUUGUGCUAUGGGAGCGGCCGAUGUCCGAUUAGCUAGUUGGGGGGUAAUGGCCUACCAAGGCGACGAUCGGUAGCUGGUCUGAGAGGAUGAUCAGCCACACUGGGACUGAGACACGGCCCAGACUCCUACGGGAGGCAGCAGUGGGGAAUUUUGGACAAUGGGGCAACCCUGAUCCAGCCAUGCCGCGUGCGGGAAGAAGG
rnacentral:rRNA from 1 species